CUCAGUGAAAAGCAUGGAAGGUGGGCCGAGUGCUGAAGGGAAAGCAUGGAAAAUGUGACAAGCAUUCCAUUAGGGCAGUGGUGGAAAAAUUGAAGAAGGCGACCGAUGACCAACUGAUUUUGACCUACAACAGCAAAGAAGAAGAUGAAGAAGGCAUGAAGAGAGUAGUGAGGGUUGGGCAGUUGGUACCUGUGAAGAAGCAUUUUGGCGGUUGUGGACCAACAAGAGGGAUGACCUGAGAAGACAACGAAGUGGAAAAGCAGGGGCCCACAGGUUGUCUGCUAAGAACAGCAAAGGGGUCAGAUCUAAACUGGAAAGCAGGAUGAAGGCCAUUGCAACAAUAGACUGGCCGGAGAAGAAAAGAUGGGGAAAG